ensembl:lncRNA
AUGUAUUGCAUUUCGAUUUCGAUUGUGACUUGUUUUCCCUGUAACUUUUGCUGGAAAAAAUUAAGAAAAAUUACUCCUAUCUCUGAUGUCAGUAACAGACUUCCCAUAUACACUGUUGGGAAUGGAGAUAGCGACCCUGAUCCUGAGAAACAGGAGUCACCCAGACCAUCCUAUCCAGCACCUGUGGCCGGGGGAAUCCCAAGCUUCCAAAGGAAUCCAAAAGUGGUCCCACAGGGGGAAAAUGAUAGAAAUGUUGCCUGGCAGUCGUUUUGGACGAGACGAAAAGUGGCCCCACAGGUGAAAAAAUUACCUAUGGUAAUACAAACAAGAUUGUUAUUUCAUAUCUCCUCUGUAUUCCUUCCAUGCAUUUUCACGCAUAAAUAUUUUCUUUUAAUUCUUUUUCUCUUACUUAAAAAUAUUUUUCUAUUAAGUACGUUGAUUUUUUAAAUUUCCUAUUCUUAAAGUGUAUUUUAUCAAAAUUAUCCAUUAAUACUUAACACCAAAAUUCUUCCAAUUAAGUUGGGAAAAGAAAUGAUUUAAGUCAAAUUAAAAACAAAUUAAAAAGAUUGCAUUUAAUGGUAAUAUGAAGGAAAUUACUUUGUACAUUAAAUAAUAGUGCCAAAUGAAUCUUCUCUCCGUAAAUAUGGAUCUCAAAUUUAAAAUGUUUAGGUUACAGUUCUAUUCAAAAAAGAAGGUGAGGAAUUCAGUGUGAAGUUUGGUGGCCAAAUAAAUCAUUUUAUAAAAA